rnacentral:tRNA from 1 species
CUCAGCCUCCUAUUUGGCUGGCAUUACAGUGGCUGGAAUCACAGGCUGCACCUGGCUAAGAUUCACUUUUACCAGUAGCUCCAUCCCCAAUUAUUUGAGAUAAAUAAUAUUUGUCCUGUAAUGUGGGGGUGGGGGACAGUAAGAUAAAAGCUAGAAAACUUUUCCAAGGUCACAUAAAUAUUGACUGGCCAAAGCAGGGAUUCAAACCAGGAAGUCUGACACCCAUCUUAGCUACUCGCUACCCUGCCUUUUACUCAGAGAAGAAAUAACCACCAUGGCCGUCUUUCCCUAAAGUGAAGUUCAGGUAACUUGUAAAAGUACAUUAUUUUUUUCCUGUCUCCAUCACCAGCUUGGCAGCGAAUCAAUUAGGAAGGGGUCCUUGCAUGGGCAUUUUGGCCUCAGGUAGAUUCAUGAGGCUUUUCUUUGGCUCACUCUACAAAGUUCAGGUUGCACAUGAACUAACGCUGAAAAAGGCCAAACAUUCUUUCCAAAGAAAGAUCCAUUCUUUAUUCUCACUGUCUAUAGAUAACGUAAUGAAGCCCAAAAAUCUUACACCUGCAAUUUGAACUUAAGUGCUGUUUGGUUUCUGUUUCCAGUCAGUUCUCUCCAUCCCCUGUCGUUUUUGCUGCAACUUUCACUGUUUCCAGGGUGUUUCAGGUUUUUGCAGGUGUUCUUCCAAAAUGCCCUUGUGGAAAAAGAGAAUCUUUAUGAGGCCCAGCUCAAAGGUCACUUCAGAGCCUUCCCAGUGCUGUGUAAUCUCUCCUAGCUCCCUACCUCUGUAUAGAGUUCUAUUACAGCAUCGGUAGUGGUGUUGAAAUUACUGUUUACUUACAAGUCAGUGAACUUUGCAAGAACUGUGGCUAAAUGCUUUAGUCCCAGAGGUUCUCACCAGGCUUCGGGUAGAGUAUGUUGUAAAUUGUGCCAAAUAGUCAUUGUUUUAGAACUUUUUUAAAAACAUAUUUUUAAUAUGUUCUCAUUAGUUAUACUUGACAGUAGAAUGCAUUUUGACACAUUGUACACAAAUGGAGUACAGCUUCUCCUUCCUCUACCUGAAUAUGGUGCAGAGUUGUUUUAGGUCCAAUGUUCUAUAGAAUCUUCAAGUUUUUGGCAGCUCCAAGAUGCUUCCCCCCCCCCCCUUUGUAAGGCAGGGGGCAGGUUGUCUCUCCCUAUGUUGCCCAGGCUCUCCUGGAACUUGAGAUACUCCUCAGCCUCCCAAUUGACUGGCAUUACAGUGGCUGGGAUCACAGGUAUGCAACGCUGCACCUGACUAAGAUUCACUUUUACCAGGAGAUGAGAAGCAACAUGGUAUAACAGUGUAAUGAUGGAACCUAGGCUCAGAAAGAUUUGGAAUCCAGGUCUGUUAAAACCAAGUCCCUGAUUACUUCCAGAAAAAAGUAUGGGAAAUUCCUCCCCAUGGCAAGGCAAUGCUGGGGAUCAAACCCAGGGCCUUAUGCAUACUAGACAAACACUCUACAAGUCUGGAAAUGUCCUGAAGGGGCAACAUAUAAAUCAGGCCCUGAUGAGUUUCCAUAGGAAGUAGGUGUUACAGACCAGAUAAUCUAGUAAAAGCUGAGUGUGGUGGUGCAGGCCUGUAAUCCCAGCUCCUUGGGGAGGCUGAGGCAGGAGGAUCCAAGUUUGAGGCCAGCCACAAUAACUUUCAGACCCUGUCUCAAAAUGAAAGAUCAAAGGCUGGGUGUGGUGGGGCAGUCCUGAAAUCCCAGCAGCUCCAGAGGCUGAGACAGGAGGAUGGUGAGUUCAAAGCCAGCUUCAUCAAAAAGCGAGGCACUGGGGGCUGGGGUUGUGGCUCAGAGUUUUAGAGUGCUUGCCUAGCAUGCAUGAGGCACUGGGUUUGAUACCCAGCUACCACAUAAAAAUAAAGAUAUUGUGUCCACCUAUAAUUAAAAAUUUAAAACAAAACAAACAAAAAAGCAAGGUGCUAAGCAACUCAGUGAAACCCUGUUUCUAAAUAAAAUACAAAAUAGGGCUGGGGAGUGGCUCAGUGGUUAAGUGCCCCUGAGUUCAAUCUGCCCUUACCGCCCCUCCCCCUAAACAAAAGAAAAAUCAGGACAGCUGGGGAUGCAUUUCAGUGGCAUCCCCCUCCCAAACAAAAGUCAUUUUCUCCUAUUAAGCAAUAUGUAUGCACAACGUUAGCACCUGCUAGACUUAGGGAACCAGUUGGCAGUGGACUUGAUUAUAGUAAAACAAAACAGCUCUUGCAGGUUUUGCUGAGCAGGAACUCAGGCCAGUACUGCCAGGUAGUACUUUUCCAAGACUUAUUUGGGCAUGGUGUAGAUUAUUGGUGGGAGCACUUGCCUAGCAUGAGAGUCCCUGGGUUCAAUCUCCAGCGCAGAAAACAACAACAAAAAAAUGUUGGCAACUAAUCACUUUAUCUGCCAUUCAGAAUCUUCCUUGUGAGUUCAAUCAAUUUUCUGGUUGCUUGACUGUAAUCUCUGCUUUAGGAAUUGAUCUAAACCAAAGGGAGGAAUUUGUGAACUUUUAACAGUCUUAAAAGAAGUGUAGAGUGGUGCUGAAUUUGGAGUGGUCAGAAUACUUUAGUUUGCAUUUUCUGGGAUUUCUUUAAACUACAGUGACAGAACACAGAUCAGUGAUUGCUUGGGGUGGUGUAAGAAGCAGAAAUUCCCAAGGGGCAUGCUUUAGUCAGCUUUUUUGUUGCUGUGACUAAAUGACCUGACCAGCACAACGGUAGUGGAAGAAAAGUUUACUUGAGGGCUCAGAGUUUCAGAGGUCUUAGUCCACGGAAGGCCAGCCUCUAUUCCUGGGGCUUGAGGUGAGACAGAACAUCAUGGUGGAAGAAUGUGGCAGAGGGAAGCAGCUCACAUCACCAUGAAGCAAGAGAGCGAACUCCACUCUCCAGGUACAAAAUAUAUGCCCCCAGAGCCACACCCCUAAAGCCCACCUCCUUCAACCACAAUUUACCAGCCUUCAGCAAUCAGUUAAUGCCUCAUGGGAUUAAAUCACUGAUUGGGUUAAAGCUCUCACAACCCAAUCAUUUCUCCUCUGAAACUUCUUGCAUUGUCUUACAUGUGAGCCUUUGGAGGACGCCACAUCUAAACUGGGCACAUAAAAAUUUUUAGAAAUUAUGGAUAUGGGGGGAGGUCAUGGAGGUGUUUAUCUUGAUUGUACUGAUGGUUUCAUGAGCACAAGUAUCUCUUGUCAAAUCACACACUUUAAAUGUACAAUUUAUGAGUUCAUUAAAUUUCAAUAAAGC